CGUUGCACCAAAACCGAUCCCCGACCAAUCCCCCACCUCCCGACCCCGGCUAACCCCCGUCGCCGCCUACUAGACAAGCGCACCGCGCCGCCGCCCCAAACAUCCGCCGCCCAUAGGCCUCACGCGCCACCGCCGAUCGAGGAUCCCGCGCGCACCACCGGUCAUGGAUCCUGCGUGCCGCCACCAGGCUCUGGAUCGCCCUCGUUGUUCCCAGCACCACCGCGCGCUGCCGGAUCCCCGAAAUCCCGCGCGCCGCCGAGACCCAACAUUCCCGCUCGUCGCCGCCGCCGGGGCCAAUCCUGCCACCAUGCGUCGGCUCGCGGCCCGCCAGAUCUCCAAGAUGCCGCUGCUACUCCCCCACCGGUUCUGCCGCCCUGCUCCUCAUGAUCCACCGGCCCCUUCACCAACGCCCUUGCUCCCCGAAGCCGCCGGCGAGGGGAGUUACGUCGUCGGCAGGGCCUCUAGCAGAACGCACCAUGCUCCUUAACUCUCGCCUCUGCACCUCCUUCCUUGGCAUCCCCGCGGGUGACCUUCUCUGGCGCCUGUGAUCGACCUUCCUGGUGUCUCUUGCUUGAACCUGUGCACCACUGCUCCCGAACCAGCUCUACUCGUUCAAGGGGCAGUGGAAAGCACCCUCACCCUGAUCCAAUCUACAACACCGCCCCCGAGUCCUCCCAACGCAGCCCCGAGCCAUUCAACUAUGCUGUCCUGGUCCGUUCGCCUCGACCCUAAGCCGUUCAACGACGGAGCCGCCGGCUGUUCAUGAACAUAGCACCCCGGAUCUUGCUGCCCACCAUCCAGUUCAACUUCUGCUGAAUUUGAUAAAGGGAGACUCCUUGUCAGAGCAAUUCCCUCUUAACUUUUUUCCGUUCGAAGUUCUAAUUUGUUAGCUACUUCAGGUUCAGCUAGCCUGUGUAUGUGGCUACCAAGGUGGCAUGCAUUCAGCCACGACUUUGUUUUGGUUUCCACAUGUCGCCAGUUGCUAUUUAUGUGAAAAAGAUUUAUGUAUACUGGGACCUCCAUGUACUGAACAUAUUAAAAGAUGCUCCACGUCUUAUAAGUGUCCACUCUACAGAAAAAAGAACAUUAUUAUAUGAAAUACCAACAAACAAUGCAGCAAGCACUGCUCUCUGAGGUAGCAGGCAGAGAAAAGAAGGUCAUUUCAGAAAUUCAGAGACAAAACAAGAAACAUAUGAAAUCCAGAGAAAAGGCAUAUGGAGUUGUUGUGCAGUGUGUUUACCUGCUGCUACACCAAGGUGUCCCCAACCAUGACACCUUCUGUUCGUGUUAUCACCACAAAACUGAGUACAGAAGACUCAAGCUGCUAGUCGCCAUCCACCUCCUCAAAGCACCUCACUGCUUUCUUGAGAAACAUGCAUGAACCCUAUGCUAUCGCCCCGGUUCUACUCAAACUGAUGUGCACCGUGUUACUGCAGCCUCUAGCUCAUAUUCAUUUAUUUCAUUUCGUAGCUUCGAUUUGUAACUUGUUAAGUUUAUUGUGCAGAGGCUCCACAAAGAUGCCCAAAAAAGUGUGUUAUGGA